rnacentral:tRNA from 1 species
CGGGGCGUGGCUCAGUUUGGCUUAGAGCGCUGCGUUCGGGACGCAGAGGUCGCUGGUUCGAGUCCAGUCGCCCCGACCA